rnacentral:rRNA from 1 species
AUUGAACGCUGGCGGCAGGCCUAACACAUGCAAGUCGAGCGGGGUUUUCGGACCUAGCGGCGGACGGGUGAGUAAUGCGUAGGAAGCUACCCGAUAGAGGGGGAUACCAGUUGGAAACGACUGUUAAUACCGCAUAAUGUCUACGGACCAAAGUGUGGGACCUUCGGGCCACAUGCUAUCGGAUGCGCCUACGUGGGAUUAGCUAGUUGGUGAGGUAAUGGCUCACCAAGGCGACGAUCCCUAGCUGGUUUGAGAGGAUGAUCAGCCACACUGCAACUGAGACACGGUCCAGACUCCUACGGGAGGCAGCAGUGGGGAAUAUUGGACAAUGGGCGCAAGCCUGAUCCAGCCAUGCCGCGUGUGUGAAGAAGGCCUUCGGGUUGUAAAGCACUUUCAGUAGGGAGGAAGCGUUGUGUGUUAAUAGUACACAGCGUUGACGUUACCUACAGUAGAAGCACCGGCUAACUCUGUGCCAGCCGCCGCAGUAAAAC